rnacentral:rRNA from 1 species
UACAGAGGUCCCAAGCGUUGUUCGGAUUCAUUGGGCGUAAAGGGUGCGUAGGCCGCGCCGUAAGUCGGAUGUGAAAUCUCGGGGGCUCAACCCUGAAACUGCAUUCGAUACUGCGGUGCUAGAGGACUGGAGAGGAAACUGGAAUUCACGGUUGUAGCAGUGAAAAUGCGUAGAUAUCGGUGAGGAAGACCAGUGGCGGAAGGCGGGUCUCUGGACAGUUCCUGACACUGAGGCACGAAGGCUAGGGGGAGCAAACGGG